rnacentral:rRNA from 1 species
GACGAACGCUGGCGGCGCGCUUAACACAUGCAAGUCGAACGGAAAGGCCUGCUUUCCCUUGUGGAUUGCGGGUAAUCGAGUGGCGAACGGGUGAGUAACACGUGAGUGAUCUGCCCCCAACUUGGGUAUAAGCCUGGGAAACUGGGUCUAAUUCCCGAUCGGACUGCAGGGUGGUGCCUGUGGUGGGAAACGAGUUUCUAGUGGUUGGGGAUGAGCUCGCGGCCUAUCAGCUUGGUGGUGGGGUAAUGGCCUACCAAGGCGGCGACGGGUAGCCGGCCUGGGAGGGUGGACUGCGACAGUGGGACGGAGAUUCGGCCCAGAGUCCUGCGGGAGGCAGCAGUGGGGAAUAGUGCACAAUGGUAGUGAGCCAGAGGCAGACGCGCGGCGUGGGGGAGGCCGGCGUGCGAGUUGUAAACUCCUUUCGACCGCGGGGAAGCCACCUGGUUGGAAGGGUGGUGACGGUAGUGGUAGAAGAAGCACCGGCUAACUACGUG